rnacentral:rRNA from 1 species
GGCCUAACACAUGCAAGUCGAGCGGUAACAUGGUUAGUAGCAAUACUAACUGAUGACGAGCGGCGGACGGGUGAGGAACACGUAGGAACCUUCCCAGAAGCGGGGGACAACCAAGGGAAACUUUGGCUAAUACCGCGUAAUCUCGAGAGAGGAAAGCUGCCCGCAAGGGUGGCGCUUUUGGAGGGGCCUGCGUCCGAUUAGCUAGUUGGUGGGGUAAGAGCCCACCAGGCGAUGAUCGGUAACUGGUCUGAGAGGACGGCCAGUCACACUGGGACUGAGACACGGCCCAGACUCCUACGGGAGGCAGCAGUGGGGAAUAUUGGACAAUGGGGGCAACCCUGAUCCAGCGAUGCCGCGUGAGUGAAGAAGGCCCUCGGGUCGUAAAGCUCUUUAGGUUGGGAAGAAGUGUGUGCAGCGAAUAACUGUGCACAUUGACUGUACCGACAGAAU